CCUACGGGUGGCAGCAGUGGGGAAUAUUGCACAAUGGGGGAAACCCUGAUGCAGCGACGCCGCGUGAGUGAAGAAGUAUUUCGGUAUGUAAAGCUCUAUCAGCAGGGAAGAAAAUGACGGUACCUGAUUCAGAAGCCCCGGCUAACUACGUGCCAGCAGCCGCGGUAAGACGUAGGGGGCAAGCGUUAUCCGGAUUUACUGGGUGUAAAGGGAGCGUAGACGGCAGCACAAGUCUGGAGUGAAAUGCCGGGGCUUAACCCCGGAACUGCUUUGGAAACUGGGCAGCUAGAGUGCAGGAGAGGUAAGUGGAAUUCCUAGUGUAGCGGUGAAAUGCGUAGAUAUUAGGAGGAACACCAGUGGCGAAGGCGGCUUACUGGACUGUAACUGACGUUGAGGCUCGAAAGCGUGGGGAGCAAACAGGAUUAGAUACCCUAGUAGUC
rnacentral:rRNA from 1 species